rnacentral:rRNA from 1 species
GACGAACGCUGGCGGCGUGCCUAAUACAUGCAAGUUGAGCGCUGAAGGUUGGUACUUGUACCAACUGGAUGAGCAGCGAACGGGUGAGUAACGCGUGGGGAAUCUGCCUUUGAGCGGGGGACAACAUUUGGAAACGAAUGCUAAUACCGCAUAAAAACUUUAAACACAAGUUUUAAGUUUGAAAGAUGCAAUUGCAUCACUCAAAGAUGAUCCCGCGUUGUAUUAGCUAGUUGGUGAGGUAAAGGCCCACCAAGGCGAUGAUACAUAGCCGGCCUGAGAGGGUGAUCGGCCACCUUGGGACUGAGACCCGGCCCAAACUCCUACGGGAGGCAGCAGUAGGGAAUCUUCGGCAAUGGACGAAAGUCUGACCGAGCAACGCCGCGUGAGGGAAGAAGGUUUUCGGAUCGUAAAACUCUGUUGGUAGAGAAGAACGUUGGUGAGAGUGGAAAGCUCAUCAAGUGACGGUAACUACACAGAAAGGGACGGCUAACUACGUG